rnacentral:rRNA from 1 species
ACGCGUGGAACCUUACCAGGUCUUGACAUCCUUCGCUACUUCUAGAGAUAGAAGGUUCCCCUUCGGGGGACGAAGUGACAGGUGGUGCAUGGUUGUCGUCAGCUCGUGUCGUGAGAUGUUGGGUUAAGUCCCGCAACGAGCGCAACCCUUGAUCUUAGUUGCCAGCAUUCAGUUGGGCACUCUAAGGUGACUGCCGGUGACAAACCGGAGGAAGGUGGGGAUGACGUCAAAUCAUCAUGCCCCUUAUGACCUGGGCUACACACGUGCUACAAUGGAUGGUACAAAGGGCUGCAAAACUGCGAAGUCAAGCCAAUCCCAUAAAACCAUUCUCAGUUCGGAUUGCAGGCUGCAACUCGCCUGCAUGAAGCCGGAAUCGCUAGUAAUCGCGGAUCAGCAUGCCGCGGUGAAUACGUUCCCGGGCCUUGCACACACCGCCCGU